CCAACUGCCACAGUGGAUGCUGUCUUACCAGCACACAAGGAAAUCGAGGCCGAAGAGAGCAUAGAGCCGGCCGAGGUGGCUGUGGAUGACCAGGUGGAGAAUGUCGAGCCCAGGGAGAGUGGUUCAGUCGCGAUCCUGGAGGAGGGAGAAAAGUUGGCGGUGCCAGAGAUCGACAGUGGUGCACCUGAUUCCAUGCAUGCGACAGAUCCCAUGGUGGAGGACACACAGGGAGCAUGUCCUGCCAGUGAAGACAUUCACGAGCUUGUGGAAAAGGAGCAAACCAAAGUCGAUGUGCCACAGCAAGUUUCCGAACGCGAGGUCGAGCUUCCCAUUCCAGUAGAAGAACUCCCAGAGUCGGCAAACGAAGCCGUCCAGGAGCCAGAGCCUGUUGCUGAGGCCGUUCCCGGGACAGAGGCCGUGCCUGAGGCUGCUGAGGAACUUGCCCAGGAGGUGGAACUGGCCGAGCCACUCGUAGCUCAAGUACCAACGGCCACAGUGGAUGCCGUCUUACCCGCACACGAGGAAAUCGAGGCCGAAGAGAGCAUAGAGCCGGCCGAGGGGGCUGUGGAUGACCAGGUGGAGAAUGUCGAGCCCAGGGAGAGUGCUUCAGUCGCGGUCCUGGAGGAGGGAGAAAAGUUGGCGGUGCCAGAGAUCGAGAGUGGUGCACCGGAUUCCAUGCAUGCAACAGAUCCCAUGGUGGAGGACACACAGGGAGCAUGUCCUGCCAGUGAAGACAUUCACGAGCUUGUGGAAGAGGAGCAAACCAAAGUCGAUGUGCCACAGCAAGUUUCCGAACGCGAGGUCGAGCUUCCCAUUCCAGUAGAAGAACUCCCAGAGUCGGCAAACGAAGUCGUCCAGGAGCCACAGCCUGUGGUUGAGGCCGUUCCCGGGACAGAGGCCGUGCCUGAGGCUGCUGAGGAUCUUGCCCAGGAGGUGGAACUGGCCGAGCCACUCGUAGCUCAAGUACCAACUGCCACAGUGGAUGCCGUCUUACCCGCACACGAGGAAAUCGAGGCCGAAGAGAGCAUAGAGCCGGCCGAGGGGGCUGUGGAUGACCAGGUGGAGAAUGUCGAGCCCAGGGAGAGUGCUUCAGUCGCGAUCCUGGAGAAGGGAGAAAAGUUGGCGGUGCCAGAGAUCGACAGUGGUGCACCGGAUUCCAUUUCUGCGACAGAUCCCAUGGUGGAGGACACACAGGGAGCAUGUCCUGCCAGUGAAGACAUUCACGAGCUUGUGGAAGAGGAGCAAACCAAAGUCGAUGUGCCACAGCAAGUUUCCGAACGCGAGGUCGAGCUUCCCAUUCCAGUAGAAGAACUCCCAGAGUCGGCAAACGAAGCCGUCCAGGAGCCAGAGCCUGUUGCUGAGGCCGUUCCCGGGCCAGAGGCCGUGCCUGAGGUUGCUGAGGAAC
rnacentral:lncRNA from 1 species